GGUUGACCUCGGAUCAGGUAGGGAUACCCGCUGAACUUAAGCAUAUCAAUAAGCGGAGGAAAAGAAACCAACAGGGAUUGCCCCAGUAACGGCGAGUGAAGCGGCAAGAGCUCAAAUUUGAAAGCUGGCUCCUUCGGGGUCCGCAUUUGUAUUUGUAGAGGAUG
rnacentral:rRNA from 1 species